GCUCAGAUUGAACGCUGGCGGCAGGCCUAACACAUGCAAGUCGAACGGUAACAGGAAACAGCUUGCUGUUUCGCUGACGAGUGGCGGACGGGUGAGUAAUGUCUGGGAAACUGCGUGAUGGAGGGGGAUAACUACUGGAAACGGUAGCUAAUACCGCAUAACGUCGCAAGACCAAAGAGGGGGACCUUCGGGCCUCUUGCCAUCGGAUGUGCCCAGAUGGGAUUAGCUAGUAGGUGGGGUAACGGCUCACCUAGGCGACGAUCCCUAGCUGGUCUGAGAGGAUGACCAGCCACACUGGAACUGAGACACGGUCCAGACUCCUACGGGAGGCAGCAGUGGGGAAUAUUGCACAAUGGGCGCAAGCCUGAUGCAGCCAUGCCGCGUGUAUGAAGAAGGCCUUCGGGUUGUAAAGUACUUUCAGCGGGGAGGAAGGGAGUAAAGUUAAUACCUUUGCUCAUUGACGUUACCCGCAGAAGAAGCACCGGCUAACUCCGUGCCAGCAGCCGCGGUAAUACGGAGGGUGCAAGCGUUAAUCGGAAUUACUGGGCGUAAAGCGCACGCAGGCGGUUUGUUAAGUCAGAUGUGAAAUCCCCGGGCUCAACCUGGGAACUGCAUCUGAUACUGGCAAGCUUGAGUCUCGUAGAGGGGGGUAGAAUUCCAGGUGUAGCGGUGAAAUGCGUAGAGAUCUGGAGGAAUACCGGUGGCGAAGGCGGCCCCCUGGACGAAGACUGACGCUCAGGUGCGAAAGCGUGGGGAGCAAACAG
rnacentral:rRNA from 1 species